CCCUUAGAUGUUCUGGGCCGCACGCGCGCUACACUGACGAAUGCAACGAGCUUAUAACCUUGGCCGAAAGGUCUGGGUAAUCUCCAAAUUUCGUCGUGAUGGGGAUAGAUUAUUGCAAUUAUUAAUCUUCAACGAGGAAUGCCUAGUAAGCGCAAGUCAUCAGCUUGCGUUGAUUACGUCCCUGCCCUUUGUACACACCGCCCGUCGCACCUACCGAUUGAAUGGUCCGGUGAGACUUUCGGACCGCAGCGAAUGCUCGUUUACUCGGGCUUAGCAUGCGGAAAGUUAUUCAAACCUUACCAUUUAGAGGAAGGUGAAGUCGUAACA
rnacentral:rRNA from 1 species